AUUCGGUUCAUUUUGUAAGAGUGAACAUAUGGCUAUUUUUAGGGUUAAAUUAGAGUGGAUAGUGGGAUGCAUAGGUAACAUGAUAUAAGUUUCCAUUCCAUGGUGCGUGCUAUGCAUCUAUGCCUGCUCGGUGUGUACUGUUGUUUGAGUGGAAGAAUGACGUACACUUGUGUCUUUGUAUAGUAGAGAACUAAAUAUUAUAUCCUGAUCACUGUUGCGUACACUAGUCAAUUCUUAUGAUAUUUCAUAUAAAUUACCUACUUUAACUUGUUCUGCACAAAACAUGUUUUACUACCUCUUGUAGGGUUGGAUCAACUUUGCGCAAUGUUGGACAAUACUAUCAUAUUCAGAACAGGUUUUAUCAAGCUGAGAUAUAUUACGAGAUUGCCAAGAUAAACUGAUGAUACAUGGCCCAAGUUUUGGUUGCAAGGUUAUGAAAGAGGCUACCACAAGAUAAAUAGAAUGUCAUUGUAUUGAUUGAUGUUUCAAACAUUAUAGUUGAUUGCAAGCUCGGGAAUUGGGCUACCACUAGAUAGUUUCACAUCAUGUAAUCUUUGGAUCGUGGUCUUUGUAAUGCAACAUAUCUGGUUCAAUAUAUGAGAUAUUUUUGUUUAUCA